rnacentral:rRNA from 1 species
GCAAGUCGAACGGUAACAGGAAAUAGCUUGCUAUUUUGCUGACGAGUGGCGCACGGGUGCGUAACGCGUAUACAAUCUACCUUUUGCUGAGGGAUAGCCCAGAGAAAUUUGGAUUAAUACCUCAUGGUAUUAUUGAUAGGCAUCUAUUAAUAAUUAAAGGUUACGGCAAAAGAUGAGUAUGCGUCCCAUUAGCUAGUUGGUGAAGUAACGGUUCACCAAGGCAACGAUGGGUAGGGGUCCUGAGAGGGGAGAU